rnacentral:rRNA from 1 species
UACGUAGGGUGCAGGCGUUAAUCGGAAUUACUGGGCGUAAAGCGUGCGCAGGCGGUUUGCUAAGACAGGUGUGAAAUCCCCGGGCUCAACCCGGGAACUGCGUCCGAUACUGGAAGGCUUGAAUCCGGGAGAGGGAUGCGGAAUUCCAGGUGUAGCGGUGAAAUGCGUAGAUAUCUGGAGGAACACCGGUGGCGAAGGCGGCAUCCUGGACCGGCAUUGACGCUGAGGCGCGAAAAGCCAGGGGAGCAAACGGG